UGCUGGCUGUUCACAUGCCUAAAACACAUCUGGAGAAAGGGCCGGGCAAGACCGGUGCCAGCCGCCGCGGUAAUACCGGCGGCUCGAGUGGUGGCCACUUUUAUUGGGCUUAAAGGGUUCGUAGCUGGGUUGUUGGGUCUCUUGGGAAAUCUGGCGGCUUAACCGUCGGGCGUCUAAGGGAUACUGGUUUUCUUGGAACCGGGAGAGGUGAGGGGUACUUCCGGGGUAGGAGUGAAAUCCUGUAAUCCUCGAGGGACCACCUUUGGCGAAGGCGCCUCACCAGAACGGCUUCGACAGUGAGGGACGAAAGCUGGGGGAGCAAACCGGAUUAGAUACCCGGGUAGUCCCAGCCGUAAACUAUGCGCGUUAGGUGUGUCGGUGACCACGAGUUACCGAGGUGCCGAAGGGAAACCGUGAAACGUGCCGCCUGGGAAGUACGGUCGCAAGGCUGAAACUUAAAGGAAUUG
rnacentral:rRNA from 1 species